rnacentral:tRNA from 1 species
GAGGGCAUAGCUCAAGUGAUAGAGCGCAUGCUCAAUACCCAAGAGGUCCUGGGUUCAAUCCCCAGUACCUCCU